UACGGGGGGAGCAAGCGUUGUUCGGAUCUACUGGGCGUAAAGGGCGCGUAGGCGGCCAGCACAAGUCAGUUGUGAAAUCUCCGAGCUCAACUCGGAAAGGUCAACUGAUACUGUGCGGCUAGAGUGCAGAAGGGGCAACUGGAAUUCUUGGUGUAGCGGUGAAAUGCGUAGAUAUCAAGAGGAACACCUGCGGCGAAGGCGGGUUGCUGGGCUGACACUGACGCUGAGGCGCGAAAGCGUGGGGAGCGAACAGG
rnacentral:rRNA from 1 species